UGGUUGACAUGACGUUUCUCUUCCGUUUCAGUCUUUUGCAUUUGCUGGCGCUGCUAGCUGUGUACUAAUGCACGCUUGAAUGGUGCUCUUAAUGACGCUCUAAACACCGGUCAAUCCACCUUGUGAUGGAGCCAGUGAUAAUCUGGGGCUGCACAAGGCUGGGUGAGGUCCAGUGGAAAAAGACCAGAACGUCCACCGGUGCUCCCAAACUCCCAACCUAGUGCAACAUUCACAGUUCCAGCAGAGGGCUUUCGCACACCUGCAGGUCAGCAGUGAUCAACAGCAGUACAAGAAUUUGCUGCCACUCUUUCAUCCCUUGAGUGUUGAGCCUUGUGGUAAAAGCCUCCUGCAUUUCCUAGUGACUUUGUUGACUUCUUGUGAAACAUUGGCUGACUUUCAGUUCCACUUUUGCAUUCCCUCGCAAUAUGCUUACUGCAAUAUUUGCUGGUCUAUUUAAAUGUCAAUUUAAAAUUUC